rnacentral:rRNA from 1 species
AUUGAACGCUGGCGGCAGGCUUAACACAUGCAAGUCGAGCGGAUGAGGAAAGCUUGCUUUUCGAUUCAGCGGCGGACGGGUGAGUAAUGCCUAGGAAUCUGCCUGUUAGUGGGGGAUAACUCGGGGAAACUCGGGCUAAUACCGCAUACGUCCUACGGGAGAAAGUGGGGGAUCUUCGGACCUCACGCUAACAGAUGAGCCUAGGUCGGAUUAGCUAGUAGGUGAGGUAAUGGCUCACCUAGGCGACGAUCCGUAACUGGUCUGAGAGGAUGAUCAGUCACACUGGAACUGAGACACGGUCCAGACUCCUACGGGAGGCAGCAGUGGGGAAUAUUGGACAAUGGGCGAAAGCCUGAUCCAGCCAUGCCGCGUGUGUGAAGAAGGUCUUCGGAUUGUAAAGCACUUUAAGUUGGGAGGAAGGGUAUUCACCUAAUACGUGGGUACUUUGACGUUACCAACAGAAUAAGCACCGGCUAACUCUGUGCCAGCCGCCGCAGUAAGAC